CCUACGGGUGGCAGCAGUGGGGGAUAUUGCACAAUGGGGGGAACCCUGAUGCAGCGACGCCGCGUGGGUGAAGAAGCGCCUCGGCGCGUAAAGCUCUGUCAGCAGGGAAGAAAAUGACGGUACCUGAAGAAGAAGCCCCGGCUAACUACGUGCCAGCAGCCGCGGGAAUACGUAGGGGGCAAGCGUUAUCCGGAUUUACUGGGGGUAAAGUGGGCGCAGACGGCAGUGCAAGCCAGGAGUGAAAGCCCGGGGCUCAACGCCGGGACUGCUCUUGGAACUGCGUGGCUGGAGUGCAGGAGGGGAAGGCGGAAUUCCUGGUGUAGCGGUGAAAUGCGUAGAUAUCAGGAGGAACACCAGUGGCGAAGGCGACCUGCUGGACUGCAACUGACGUUGAGGCCCAAAAGCGUGGGGAGCAAACAGGAUUAGAUACCCUGGUAGUC
rnacentral:rRNA from 1 species